rnacentral:rRNA from 1 species
CACGGGGGGAGCAAGCGUUGUUCGGAAUCACUGGGCGUAAAGGGCGUGUAGGCGGUUAGGUAAGUGGGAUGUGAAAUGCCCCGGCUCACCCGGGGACCUGCAUCCCAAACUGCCCGACUUGAGUAUGGGAGAGGAUGAGGGAAUUCCUGGUGUAGCGGUGAAAUGCGUAGAUAUCAGGAGGAACACCGGUGGCGAAGGCGCACAUCUGGCCCAAUACUGACGCUGAGGCGCGAAAGCUAGGGGAGCAAACGGG